UAUGAUUGGUAAUGCUUUGCAU
rnacentral:misc_RNA from 1 species